rnacentral:miRNA from 1 species
GGUUUAAACUUCGAAAUG